GAUGAACGCUGCGGCGUGCCUAAUACAUGCAAGUCGAGCGAACGGACGAGAAGCUUUCUUCUCUUAUGUUAGCGGCGGACGGGUGAGUAACACGUGGAUAACCUACCUAUAAUUCUGGGAUAACUUCGGGAAACCGUUGCUAAUACCGGAUAAUAUUUUGAACCGCAUGGUUCAAAAGUUUAAUACGUUCUUUCUGUCACUUAUAGAUGGAUCCGCUCUGCAUUAGCUAGUUGGGAAGGUAACGGCUUACAAAGGCAACGAUGCAUAGCCGACCUGAGAGGGAGAUCGGCCACACAGGAACUGAGACACGGUCCAGACACCUACGGGAGGCAGCAGUAGGGAAUCUAACGCAAUGGGCGAAAGCAUGACGGAGCAACGCCGCGUGAGUGAUGAAGGUCUUGGGAUCGUAAAACUCUGUUAUUAGGGAAGAACAUAUGUGUAAGUAACUGUGCACAUCAUGACGGUACCUAAUAAGAAAGCAACGGCUAACUACGUG
rnacentral:rRNA from 1 species